rnacentral:rRNA from 1 species
GAUCAUGGCUCAGAUUGAACGCUGGCGGCAUGCCUUACACAUGCAAGUCGAACGGUAACAGGUCUUCGGACGCUUGACGAGUGGCGAACGGGUGAGUAAUACAUCGGAACGUGCCCAGUCGUGGGGGGAUAACUACUCGAAAGAGUAGCUAAUACCGCAUACGAUCUGAGGAUGAAAGCGGGGGACCUUCGGGCCUCGCGCGAUUGGAGCGGCCGAUGGCAGAUUAGGUAGUUGGGUGGGGUAUAAAACG